UACAGAGGUCCCAAGCGUUGUUCGGAUUCACUGGGCGUAAAGGGUGCGUAGGCGGCUGGGUAAGUCUGACGUGAAAUCUCCGGGCCUAAACCCGGAACUGCGUUGGAUACUAUCCGGCUCGAGGAAUGGAGGGGAGACUGGAAUACUUGGUGUAGCAGUGAAAUGCGUAGAUAUCAAAGUGGAACACCAGUGGCGAAGGCGAGUCUCUGGACAUUUCCUGACGCUGAGGCACGAAAGCCAGGGGAGCAAACGGG
rnacentral:rRNA from 1 species